rnacentral:rRNA from 1 species
UUAAGCGACUAAGCGUACACGGUGGAUGCCCUGGCAGUCAGAGGCGAUGAAGGACGUGCUAAUCUGCGAUAAGCGUCGGUAAGGUGAUAUGAACCGUUAUAACCGGCGAUUUCCGAAUGGGGAAACCCAGUGUGAUUCGUCACACUAUCAUUAACUGAAUCCAUAGGUUAAUGAGGCGAACCGGGGGAACUGAAACAUCUAAGUACCCCGAGGAAAAGAAAUCAACCGAGAUUCCCCCAGUAGCGGCGAGCGAACGGGGAGCAGCCCAGAGCCUGAAUCAGUGUGUGUGUUAGUGGAAGCGUCUGGAAAGGCGCGCGAUACAGGGUGACAGCCCCGUACACAAAAAUGCACAUACUGUGAGCUCGAUGAGUAGGGCGGGACACGUGGUAUCCUGUCUGAAUAUGGGGGGACCAUCCUCCAAGGCUAAAUACUCCUGACUGACCGAUAGUGAACCAGUACCGUGAGGGAAAGGCGAAAAGAACCCCGGCGAGGGGAGUGAAAAAGAACCUGAAACCGUGUACGUACAAGCAGUGGGAGCCUCUUAAUGGGGUGACUGCGUACCUUUUGUAUAAUGGGUCAGCGACUUAUAUUCUGUAGCAAGGUUAACCGAAUAGGGGAGCCGAAGGGAAACCGAGUCUUAACUGGGCGUUAAGUUGCAGGGUAUAGACCCGAAACCCGGUGAUCUAGCCAUGGGCAGGUUGAAGGUUGGGUAACACUAACUGGAGGACCGAACCGACUAAUGUUGAAAAAUUAGCGGAUGACUUGUGGCUGGGGGUGAAAGGCCAAUCAAACCGGGAGAUAGCUGGUUCUCCCCGAAAGCUAUUUAGGUAGCGCCUCGUGAAUUCAUCUCCGGGGGUAGAGCACUGUUUCGGCAAGGGGGUCAUCCCGACUUACCAACCCGAUGCAAACUGCGAAUACCGGAGAAUGUUAUCACGGGAGACACACGGCGGGUGCUAACGUCCGUCGUGAAGAGGGAAACAACCCAGACCGCCAGCUAAGGUCCCAAAGUCAUGGUUAAGUGGGAAACGAUGUGGGAAGGCCCAGACAGCCAGGAUGUUGGCUUAGAAGCAGCCAUCAUUUAAAGAAAGCGUAAUAGCUCACUGGUCGAGUCGGCCUGCGCGGAAGAUGUAACGGGGCUAAACCAUGCACCGAAGCUGCGGCAGCGACGCUUAUGCGUUGUUGGGUAGGGGAGCGUUCUGUAAGCCUGCGAAGGUGUGCUGUGAGGCAUGCUGGAGGUAUCAGAAGUGCGAAUGCUGACAUAAGUAACGAUAAAGCGGGUGAAAAGCCCGCUCGCCGGAAGACCAAGGGUUCCUGUCCAACGUUAAUCGGGGCAGGGUGAGUCGACCCCUAAGGCGAGGCCGAAAGGCGUAGUCGAUGGGAAACAGGUUAAUAUUCCUGUACUUGGUGUUACUGCGAAGGGGGGACGGAGAAGGCUAUGUUGGCCGGGCGACGGUUGUCCCGGUUUAAGCGUGUAGGCUGGUUUUCCAGGCAAAUCCGGAAAAUCAAGGCUGAGGCGUGAUGACGAGGCACUACGGUGCUGAAGCAACAAAUGCCCUGCUUCCAGGAAAAGCCUCUAAGCAUCAGGUAACAUCAAAUCGUACCCCAAACCGACACAGGUGGUCAGGUAGAGAAUACCAAGGCGCUUGAGAGAACUCGGGUGAAGGAACUAGGCAAAAUGGUGCCGUAACUUCGGGAGAAGGCACGCUGAUAUGUAGGUGAAGUCCCUUGCUGAUGGAGCUGAAAUCAGUCGAAGAUACCAGCUGGCUGCAACUGUUUAUUAAAAACACAGCACUGUGCAAACACGAAAGUGGACGUAUACGGUGUGACGCCUGCCCGGUGCCGGAAGGUUAAUUGAUGGGGUUAGCGGUAACGCGAAGCUCUUGAUCGAAGCCCCGGUAAACGGCGGCCGUAACUAUAACGGUCCUAAGGUAGCGAAAUUCCUUGUCGGGUAAGUUCCGACCUGCACGAAUGGCGUAAUGAUGGCCAGGCUGUCUCCACCCGAGACUCAGUGAAAUUGAACUCGCUGUGAAGAUGCAGUGUACCCGCGGCAAGACGGAAAGACCCCGUGAACCUUUACUAUAGCUUGACACUGAACAUUGAGCCUUGAUGUGUAGGAUAGGUGGGAGGCUUUGAAGUGUGGACGCCAGUCUGCAUGGAGCCGACCUUGAAAUACCACCCUUUAAUGUUUGAUGUUCUAACGUUGGCCCCUAAUCGGGGUUGCGGACAGUGUCUGGUGGGUAGUUUGACUGGGGCGGUCUCCUCCUAAAGAGUAACGGAGGAGCACGAAGGUUGGCUAAUCCUGGUCGGACAUCAGGAGGUUAGUGCAAUGGCAUAAGCCAGCUUGACUGCGAGCGUGACGGCGCGAGCAGGUGCGAAAGCAGGUCAUAGUGAUCCGGUGGUUCUGAAUGGAAGGGCCAUCGCUCAACGGAUAAAAGGUACUCCGGGGAUAACAGGCUGAUACCGCCCAAGAGUUCAUAUCGACGGCGGUGUUUGGCACCUCGAUGUCGGCUCAUCACAUCCUGGGGCUGAAGUAGGUCCCAAGGGUAUGGCUGUUCGCCAUUUAAAGUGGUACGCGAGCUGGGUUUAGAACGUCGUGAGACAGUUCGGUCCCUAUCUGCCGUGGGCGCUGGAGAACUGAGGGGGGCUGCUCCUAGUACGAGAGGACCGGAGUGGACGCAUCACUGGUGUUCGGGUUGUCAUGCCAAUGGCACUGCCCGGUAGCUAAAUGCGGAAGAGAUAAGUGCUGAAAGCAUCUAAGCACGAAACUUGCCCCGAGAUGAGUUCUCCCUGACUCCCUGAGAGUCCUGAAGGAACGUUGAAGACGACGACGUUGAUAGGCCGGGUGUGUAAGCGCAGCGAUGCGUUGAGCUAACCGGUACUAAUGAACCGUGAGGCUUAACCUU